rnacentral:tRNA from 1 species
AAUUAGAUGGCUGAUAAAAGCGUAGAAUUUUUAAUUCUUGUAUGAACUUCUUCUCUAGUU